GUGUGUACAGGAUUGUGGGCUAACAGUGCAAUAUAUAUAAGAUUGCACUGUUAGCCCACAAUCCUGUACACA